rnacentral:rRNA from 1 species
UUUUAAUCCAACAUCGAGGUCGCAAACUUUUUUAUCGAUAAGAACUCUCCAAAAAAAUUACGCUGUUAUCCCUAAGGUAGUUUAAUCUAAUAAUCAUAAAAAAUGGAUCAAGAAAAUCAAAAAUAAUUGAAAAAAAUAAAUAAAAGUUAAUUAAAUUUUAAAGUCACCCCAACCAAAUUAUUUAAAUCAUAAAAUUAAAAAUUAACAAAUAUAAAAUAAAAAAUAAAUAAUAAAACUCUAUAGGGUCUUCUCGUCCUAUAUAAAAAUCUUAAGCUUUUUAACUAAAAAAUUAAAUUAAAAUAAAUUAUAAAAAGAAAGAAAAUUUUUCAUCCAACCAUUCAUACCAGCCUCUAAUUAAGAGACAAUUGAUUAUGCUACCUUUGUACAGUCAAAAUACUGCAGCCAUUUAAAUAUUCAUAGGGCAGGUCAGACUUAUAAUUAAAAUCUAAAAGACAUGUUUUUGUUAAACAGGCG